rnacentral:rRNA from 1 species
AUUGAACGCCGGCGGCAUGCCUUACACAUGCAAGUCGAACGGUAACGCGGGGCAACCUGGCGACGAGUGGCGAACGGGUGAGUAACGCAUCGGAACGUGCCCAGUAGUGGGGGAUAGCCCGGCGAAAGCCGGAUUAAUACCGCAUACGACCUACGGGUGAAAGGGGGGGAUCGCAAGACCUCUCGCUAUUGGAGCGGCCGAUGUCAGAUUAGGUAGUUGGUGGGGUAAAGGCCUACCAAGCCUACGAUCUGUAGCUGGUCUGAGAGGACGACCAGCCACACUGGGACUGAGACACGGCCCAGACUCCUACGGGAGGCAGCAGUGGGGAAUUUUGGACAAUGGGCGCAAGCCUGAUCCAGCCAUGCCGCGUGCGGGAAGAAGGCCUUCGGGUUGUAAACCGCUUUUGUCAGGGAAGAAACGCUCUGGACUAAUAAUCUGGGGUAAUGACGGUACCUGAAGAAUAAGCACCGGCUAACUACGUGCCAGCCGCCGCGGUAAAAC